CUUAGAGUAGCUGGGAUUACAGGCGCCUUCCACCAGGCCCAGCUAAGUUUUGUAUUUUUAGUAGAGACAGGGUUUUACCAUGUUGGCCAGGCUGGUAUUGAACGCCUGACCUCAAAUGAUCCGCCCAUCUCAGUCUCCCAAAGUGCUGGGAUUACAGGCAUGAGUCACUGUCCCCGGCCCCGCAUGUGGCUAUUUAAAUUUAAAUUGAUUUUGGCUAAAAUUAAAAUUAGAAAUUUAGUUCUUCAGUCAUACUACCACACUUCAAGCAUCCAACAGCCACCUGUGGGUGGUGCCUACUGUAUCGGACAGUGAAGAUCUAGAACAUUUUCAUCAUUGUAGACAGCUCUAAUGGGCAGUGCCUGGCUGAUAUUGUUCUGUACCUAGAUUAAAAAAAAACUAUUUUAUAUCAGAGAUGGUUCCUCCACUCCACUCAUUCUAAUUAUUGCAUGUCCUUAACUAUUUAGCCAGUCUCCCAGUGAAGAACAUUUAGGGGUUUCCAGGCUUUUGCUAUUACAAAUAAUGAUAUCACAGACAUUUAAUCACACUCGUAUUUUUGUCCAUGCACAAGUGUAUACACAGAAUAAAUUUCUAGAAGUAGAAUUUCAAAGUCAAAGAUAUGCGAGUUUUAAAAUAUGUAUUGGAAAAUUGUGUUCCUGUGCAGCUGUUCCCUAACAGUGGGCACCACUAUUUCCCUGUGAUUUCUUUAACAAUACACAUCACUGAGUUUUCCAGUCUUCAUUAAAUUCAGAGGUGAAACUAUAUCACACUGUUGUUUUACUCUUCAUAGUUAAAAGAAUGAAAGACUAUAAGUCAUUUAUAUGUAUUUUUUCCUGUGAAAUGUUAGUGUCUUUCUCCUUUCUUUACAUUGGAUUACUGUUAUUUUUUUGUUGAUUUAUACAUUUUUUCUUUUCUUUUCUUUUUUUUCAAGAGAAAAGGUCUCUAUCUGUUGCCCAGGCUGGAGUGCAGUGGCAUGAUCAUAGCUCACUGCAGCCUCAAACUUCUGAGCUCAAGCAAUCCUCCUGCCUUAACCUCCAGAGUAGCUGGGACUACAGGUAUUUUCCACCACACCCAGCUAAUUUUUUUUUUUUUUUUGAGACCGAGUCUUGCUCUGUUGCCAGGCUAGAGUGCAAUGGCUUAAUCUCAGUUCACUGCAAGCUCUGCCUCCUGGGUUCAAGAGAUUCUCCUGCCUCAGCCUCCCGAGUAUCUGGGACUACAGGCACAUGCCACCACAUCCAGCUAAUUUUUGUAUUUUUAGUAGAGAUGGGGUUUCACCAUGUUGGCCAGGAUGGUCUCGAUCUCUUGACCUCGUGAUCCUCCUGCCUUGGCCUCCCAAAGUGCUGGGAUUACAGGCAUGAUCCACGGCGCCCAGCCCACACCCAGCUAGCUUUUAAUUUUUUUGUGGGGAUCUCUCUUUGUUGUCCAGGCUGGUCUUGAUCUCC
rnacentral:lncRNA from 10 species